rnacentral:rRNA from 1 species
UACGUAGGGAGCGAGCGUUGUCCGGAAUUACUGGGUGUAAAGGGAGCGUAGGCGGGGCGGCAAGUUGAAUGUGAAAUGCAUAGGCUUAACCUAUGAGCUGCGUUCAAAACUGUCGCUCUUGAGUGAAGUAGAGGCAGGCGGAAUUCCUAGUGUAGCGGUGAAAUGCGUAGAUAUUAGGAGGAACACCAGUGGCGAAGGCGGCCUGCUGGGCUUUAACUGACGCUGAGGCUCGAAAGCAUGGGGAGCAAAC